rnacentral:misc_RNA from 1 species
GAUGAAGAACGUAGCGAAAUGCGAUAAGUAGUGUGAAUUGCAGAAUUCCGUGAAUCAUCGAAUCUUUGAACGCACAUUGCGCCUCCCGGUAAUCCGUGAGGCAUGCCUGUCCGAGCGUCAGUAAAAAGCAACUCGGCCGCGGCUGGCGGUUGGUGAUGGAGGAAGAGCACGUCUCGUUGUCGGUCUCCCCUCCCAAAAUCAACGGCGGAAUGUCACUGGCACUCGGUGUUGUAGUAUUAUUCGCCGAUCACCCAUUGUUGUUCCUGCCGCCCAAACCCCCACAAUUCUCUUGAUUGACCUCGGAUCAGGUAGGGAUACCCGCUGAACUUAAGCAUAUCAAUAAGCGGAGGA